rnacentral:miRNA from 1 species
CUAUUAGUCAUCUGUCUCAUU